UACAGAGGUCCCGAGCGUUGUUCGGAUUCACUGGGCGUAAAGGGUGCGUAGGUGGCAUGGUAAGUUUGAUGUGAAAGCUCAGGGCUCAACCCUGAAAUGGCAUUGAAUACUAUCGUGCUGGAGGUUUGGAGGGGGGGACUGGAAUUCUUGGUGUAGCAGUGAAAUGCGUAGAUAUCAAGAGGAACACCAGUGGCGAAGGCGAGUCCCUGGACAACACCUGACACUGAGGCACGAAAGCCGGGGGAGCAAACAGG
rnacentral:rRNA from 1 species